GCGCCCCCCGUCCUAGAGACGCCCCGCGGACCGGCUAGGCACACAAACAUAAACAUUGCGCCACCGGCCGGGCGGGCCGAGGCAGGAACGUUCUGCGGUUUCUUCUGCCAGGGGGAGGGGAUUUCACCGGCCACCCCGUGCCGGCGCUCUGUGGGUUCUAUCACCAGAGGCAACUUCUGCAUUUGCCUCGCCUAGCUGUGUGCUCAACUAUGCGCAAACCUUCUGCCUGGAUUCUUCUAGAAAAGUUCAGGGCACUGAGUGGUUUUUUUUUUUAAAGGGCGUUUUCUACCUUCAUAUGAACCUUGGUCGAGGACAGCUAAGAAGUCUUCAGAUAAGAACAACACCCUCCCUGUAUGGAGAGAAGAAAAAGAAAUUAUUUGUUUAUACUACUUAUUCAGCUGAGGAACUCAGCAUACUUUCUGUGUUGAAUCAUAGAAUGUUACAGCUGCUGACUUUUGACUGCAUACCGACUAGAUCUGUCCCAAUUUUUAUUUAUUUAUUUAUUUUGACCUGGCGCAUUCAUUACACUGUCCCCUACCCACAUUUUUUCACACACAGAAAAACCAAAAACAAACAAACAACUCUUUUUUAUGCAAAUAUCACAGUGGGGGAGGCACAGGCUGGCCCGGAGGGGAGGGUCUCCUCUCCAAGGUGGCUGGAAAGGCGCAGGGAGUGGGCUUGAGCCCCAUGCUGUCAUCUUGCUGCUGGGUGAUCCCAGGUCCGUCUCUUGCCCUACUGAGCCUCCAAGCCCACAUCUGUAGAAUGGGUCUACUGUGGCCCACUGAGUCCAUGGUUUGAGGCCCAAGUGGGAGAUAGUGGGUUUAAGGACGCAGGCGGUACCCCGCCCCUUCGCGUUAUGAUUCACUAAAUCUCUUGCUUUCCCCAUCCCAGCAGAGCGGUUCUUAUGUCAUCAUGCCACUGUGCUUUCAGGGUCUGGCAUCAGAACCCAGGGGAAGGUCACCAUGAGCCAUGGGUUUAUGAGACACAUCAAUAGAGACGUACGAGAAUGCUAGGCGAAGGAGGAAAAGCCUGCUCAACGUGAACGCAGUGCGCAGACAACACUCUUUCUCUGGAAAGGUUGGCGGAGAAUGGAAAACCGAAAGCAGCGCUGUGAGAUUUAGACGCAGAGACCCCUGGCCACAUUCCUUUCCACCCCGCGGGCCACCAGACGGCCGGCUCCUCCCCUUCUGCUAGACGGCUAGCAGAAGCCCAGGGCAGUGUUGGCAGCCCAGGCAGCGCACCGGGACCUUCUGCAAAUCCUGCCACCUGGGCCCACCUCCAGCACUUCUGGCUAAUUCGCCCUAGACGGCCUGGGCGUGGGGCCUUUGGACAUCUUCCAAGGGUCCCGGCGUACAGUGAGAGCCGCAAACUACUACCCCAAAGGGUGUCUUUGAUGCCCAGCAUGUGUCGUGGAGGGAGGAACGCAAGUGGAGGGCUCUGCACGGGGCUUGGCACAGGGACUGCAGUGUGCUGGGCUUCCCGCCUUUUUAGAGAGUCUUAGCACACUUGCACCUUCCCGUGUACGUGGUUUUCUGGCUUUGGCGUUUUUACUCCAAGUCAGUAUCAUUUUUAAGAUCUGUAAUAAUACAACGAUUUGCCAGCUAUUCAAGAGCCCACAGGUCGAGCUUCUUUCACUUCCCUUUUCUUUAUCUAUUCAGCGGACAAGAAACGCCCAUGAAUGGCGUGGAAAGGCCAGGCCACAGCCGGCGGGCGGUGGGUGACCUGCAGAAGUCCCUGGGCCCCGUCCGGGCCUGGCAGCCUGAGCCCGCGGUGGGACGGGGGAACUGAGAAGCUGGGAGUUGCUGGAGAGGCCCUGGGGUUGGGGUCAGGUGGGGGUCCCCGGUCCCUGGGCCCACUGGCUUUGGGGCUC